AACUGACUUCGGGGGACGAUAACGGCGUCGAGCGGCGGACGGGUGAGUAAUGCCUAGGAAAUUGCCCUGAUGUGGGGGAUAACCAUUGGAAACGAUGGCUAAUACCGCAUGAUGCCUACGGGCCAAAGAGGGGGACCUUCGGGCCUCUCGCGUCAGGAUAUGCCUAGGUGGGAUUAGCUAGUUGGUGAGGUAAGGGCUCACCAAGGCGACGAUCCCUAGCUGGUCUGAGAGGAUGAUCAGCCACACUGGAACUGAGACACGGUCCAGACUCCUACGGGAGGCAGCAGUGGGGAAUAUUGCACAAUGGGCGCAAGCCUGAUGCAGCCAUGCCGCGUGUGUGAAGAAGGCCUUCGGGUUGUAAAGCACUUUCAGUCGUGAGGAAGGCGGUGUAGUUAAUAGCUGCAUCGUUUGACGUUAGCGACAGAAGAAGCACCGGCUAACUCCGUGCCAGCACCGCCCGGUAAUAAAUACCG
rnacentral:rRNA from 1 species